rnacentral:lncRNA from 1 species
AAGAAACUCUUUUAAAGUUGCAGAUAAAAGAGAAGAUAUUACGAGAUUUGCCUGUCCUGUUUUUGAUCGAACAGCUCUUGAAGACGAGAGGUCAGUUCCUCUCACAACGAUAGAGUUAUCGACUACUAACAACGUUCUAUCCGAAAAUGCAUCGAAGACAUCGCCAANCGAAGACUACGAAAGAAUAUCAGAAAAAUCUCAGUCAUCCAAUGACAAUACAGGAAAUUCAGAACAAGGAACAGGAAACGACAACGUUCAUGGGUCACAAAUCCACCANUAUUAUCAAGAGCUUAAAGAUGAUGCUUUAUUACCAAACAUGCAAGGCUACCAGGCUCUAAAGAGGAUUGUGGUGGUGGAUGAUAGUGCUUUAAAAAAAGAACCUGUAAUGCCUCCUCCAAAAUACGAAGCAUUAAACUUUUUAAAUCAUCCACAAAAAUCUGAAUAUCAGAAACUGCAUCUUUAUGCUAAUAUUGAGGAUAAAAAGUAAAACUACGAAUAUAACCUCAAGGUGGUUUAUUAAGUUUCAUUUUUUGGUGUAGUUCAUCUAGUGACGUCUAUGGCGUUGUUGUUUUAAUUUGUUUUCCAUUUUCUUGCAUUACAAUAUUGUAAGAUAGAUAUACUGAAUAUCCAAUGUGUAAAAGAAUGCAUUAUAGUUAUAACC